UCGUGGCACAGAAAUGACACAUUUCACCUUUAAAUAAAUCAUGACAUCACUUUUCAGUGUUUGACAUUCUUUACGACAUCAUGGCGUGUGUCUGUCCCACGGCUGUGUGCGGUAAUGGCUUCCUGAUUGACAGGUCUGGUUUAGAUGUAGCAUUUGAUGUAAUCUUGAGGCGCUCACAGUUUCGGCCUCAUGAAGCAGCCAGUUUAAGGGCCUAGCCGCACGUUGGGGUGCAUGUAAAGAUUCAUGUGGGCUGUCUGUAGUGUUAUACAACUACCCCCUUGUAAUUAUUUAUUAUGUAAUAUUUAUUAAUUGUACUUUUUUUCUCCUUUUGGAGCCAAUAUUAGCGGGAAGAAGCUUGUAAAGAUGACUAUGUUUGACACUCAAUUGGUUUAACCCGCAACAUUGUUUUUUAACUCUCUUAACUGAAGAGCUGAUGGCUGAUUAAUGGAUCCAGGGAUAUGUCGGAUGUUGGAAAAUACAGUGUCUUAACACGGGACAGGGUAUGGGACAUUGUAUUUGUAUGCGCACAAGCAAGGAAGGAAGACUGCAAGUUGAGUCUGAAAAAUUCAACCUGGACUGAAUAUUGAGCAGCAGGACUGCAAACAACACACCAUGAACCUCCCUGCCUCUUCAUCUGAAUCAUUGUAGCGAAUCGAAAUGUCUCAAUCCUGGAGACGUGUCACUUUUGAGGAAGAUAAUUGUUCUUGAGCCACCAAAUAGGACUCUGAAACUUAACGGUACAAACUUUGAGCAAGUGCAAGUAGAUUUUUAUAGUCCUGUUUUAAAGCAUGAGGACACUGAAAGUGAGAGAAUGAGCUUUUGGCUCUUUUAUGCUUUAUGGAUGUGAAAUGAUGUAAGAGAUGUAAUUUUAUACAUUCUUAGUAAUGGCUUUCUUAAAGGGACCUCUAUAGCCUACUUUUCGCUUUGGCUGUUGUGCUGACAUGAUUUUCCCGUUUAGGGUAGAACUCAGACGCUGUUGUAAUAAAAGAUUGUGAUGAUUAUUUCACCAUCUCUGCCUGUA